AGAGAUGGUACCUUUAAAACCAAGUUAACUCGAACCCUUCACUAUUAUUUAAGUCUAUGGUAUGUGAGAUCGAGUGAGAGUUCUCUCAAAUAACUUUUGUUUCUUUGAAUCACAAGAUCGUUUUGGUGAGAGUCUCUUUCAGUUCUUUUAGGUUUAAUCGUUUUCUUAUUCCUCAUGAUGAUGCGCCAUGGAAGAAUGUCUCUGGAGUUACAUAAAUGGUGUAGUAUGAGAUUCUCAGCAAGACUUGAGCAAAACGCAUCUGUUAUUUCCAACUCUGCUAGUGGUGCUUAUAUAUCACAUGAGAGCCUUAAUGAUCUUUUUUCAAUCUCUAAUCUCAUUGAUUUAUAUCGUUUCAUAAAAAGGACUGCAGAAUUGAUCUCAAU
rnacentral:lncRNA from 1 species